rnacentral:rRNA from 1 species
UACGGAGGGGACUAGCGUUGUUCGGAAUUACUGGGCGUAAAGCGCACGUAGGCGGAUUUGUAAGUUAGGGGUGAAAUCCCGGGGCUCAACCUCGGAACUGCCUUUGAUACUGCAAAUCUCGAGUCCGGAAGAGGUGAGUGGAAUUCCUAGUGUAGAGGUGAAAAUUCGUAGAUAUUAGGAAGAACACCAGUGGCGAAGGCGGCUCACUGGUCCGGUACUGACGCUCAUGCACGAAAGCGUGGGGAGCAAACAGG